rnacentral:rRNA from 1 species
AGAGGGCGUGAAACCGUUUAGAAGGAAACGAGAGGCGCCGUAUUUUGCCUUCAUGAUUCAAUCGUCAUGCCACUUGUGGUGUGUCGGUGCAUUUCACGUUGGCAUUCACUGAGGCCCGUGCUUCAAUUUCGGCAUCACUUGAUAGGGAUGCACUUCGGUGUUAUCUUUCUCUUGUCGUCGUAAUUUUGGUACGGUUUGACGUGCUCUGUAAAGCUCGACGCAGGAUGAUCGUUAUUUGCUGUUUGCUUAUCGACCUUUGGUCGGUGGCAUUCAGUGCGUCUGGAGAUUUUUGUUUUGAGGAGCGCAUACUCGGUGUGAAUUUCGGCUAACCUCCCGACCCGUCUUGAAACACGGACCAAGGAGUUUAACUUGUGCGCGAGUCAGUGGGUCUAUUAAACCUACGGGCGAAAUGAAGGUAAAGGCCAGCUCGGUUGGCUAACACACGAUCCAUUCAGCUUGCUGUUUGUCGCAGUGUGGUCCCAUCUUGGAUGCUUGUCAUCGAGGUGGAGAUUGAGCGUACAGGUUGAGACCCGAAAGAUGGUGAACUAUGCCUGAACAGGAUGAAGUCAGAGGAAACUCUGAUGGAAGUCCGAAGCGGUUCUGACGUGCAAAUCGA